CCUACGGGAGGCAGCAGUGGGGAAUAUUGGACAAUGGGCGAAAGCCUGAUCCAGCCAUGCCGCGUGUGUGAAGAAGGCCUUCGGGUUGUAAAGCACUUUCAGUGGGGAAGAAAGCCUUGGGGCUAAUACCCUCGAGGAAGGACAUCACCCACAGAAGAAGCACCGGCUAACUCCGUGCCAGCAGCCGCGGUAAUACGGAGGGUGCGAGCGUUAAUCGGAAUUACUGGGCGUAAAGCGCGCGUAGGCGGUCUGAUAAGCCGGUUGUGAAAGCCCCGGGCUCAACCUGGGAACGGCAUCCGGAACUGUCAGGCUAGAGUGCAGGAGAGGAAGGUAGAAUUACCGGUGUAGCGGUGAAAUGCGUAGAGGUCGGGAGGAAUACCAGUGGCGAAGGCGGCCUUCUGGACUGACACUGACGCUGAGGUGCGAAAGCGUGGGUAGCAAACAGGAUUAGAGACCCUAGUAGUC
rnacentral:rRNA from 1 species